rnacentral:tRNA from 4 species
GGAGGGGUCGCAUAGUGGACUAGUGCACACGCUUGGAAAGCGUGCAUGGCCGCAAGGUCAUCGAGGGUUCGAAUCCCUCCCCCUCCGCCA